rnacentral:rRNA from 1 species
AGAGAGUAGUUGCGGUAGGCGGAAUGUAUGGUGUAGCGGUGAAAUGCUUAGAGAUCAUACAGAACACCGAUUGCGAAGGCAGCUUACCAAACUAUAUCUGACGUUGAGGCACGAAAGCGUGGGGAGCAAACAGGAUUAGAUACCCUGGUAGUCCACGCAGUAAACGAUGAUAACUCGUUGUCGGCGAUACACAGUCGGUGACUAAGCGAAAGCGAUAAGUUAUCCACCUGGGGAGUACGUUCGCAAGAAUGAAACUCAAAGGAAUUGACGGGGGCCCGCACAAGCGGAGGAACAUGUGGUUUAAUUCGAUGAUACGCGAGGAACCUUACCCGGGCUUGAAAGUUAGCGACGAUUCUUGAAAGAGGAUUUCCCUUCGGGGCGCGAAACUAGGUGCUGCAUGGUUGUCGUCAGCUCGUGCCGUGAGGUGUCGGGUUAAGUCCCAUAACGAGCGCAACCCCUACCGUUAGUUGCCAUCAGGUGAAGCUGGGCACUCUGGCGGGACUGCCGGUGUAAGCCGAGAGGAAGGUGGGGAUGACGUCAAAUCAGCACGGCCCUUACGUCCGGGGCUACACACGUGUUACAAUGGUAGGUACAGAGGGCAGCUACCCAGUGAUGGGAUGCGAAUCUCGAAAGCCUAUCUCAGUUCGGAUCGGAGGCUGAAACCCGCCUCCGUGAAGUUGGAUUCGCUAGUAAUCGCGCAUCAGCCAUGGCGCGGUGAAUACGUUCCCGGGCCUUGUACACACCGCCCGUCAAGCCAUGGAAGCUGGGGGUGCCUGAAGUUCGUGACCGCAAGGAGCGACCUAGGGCAAAACCGGUGACUGGGGCUAAGUCGUAACAAGGUAGCCGUACCGGAAGGUGCGGCUG